GGAUCAUUGUCGAAAUCGAACGGAAGAACGACCCGCGAAUCGUCAUUGCGUAGUAGACAGAGCCCGUGAGCACCUAACGCUCAUGGGUCUCGCGUCGCGUCGGCGCGGGUGUACUCGAGACCCGCGUCGUACCGGCGGACAAACAACGUCAGCACGGAUCGUGCCAAGGAGCUGCAUGGAGAGAAUCGUCGUCCCACGCCUUUGAUAGUCCUCGACGCGGGACGGGGGACGUACGCAAUCUCUACUGAAAAGUCUAAACGACUCUCGGCAACGGAUAUCUCGGCUCUUGCAUCGAUGAAGAACGUAGCGAAAUGCGAUACUUGGUGUGAAUUGCAGAAUCCCGUGAACCAUCAAUUCUUUGAACGCAAGUUGCGCCCGAAGCCAUUCGGCCGAGGGCACGCCUGCCUGGGCGUCGUGAAUCCCCUUGCCCCUAGGCACCCGCAUGAGCAUUGGCGGGGACAUAUGCUCGGGCGCAGAAUAUGGUCUCCCGUGGGAUCGGCAUGCACGGCAUGUCGAGGUGCGGUUGGCCGAAAAUCGAGCAUGGCGGUGACGGGCACCACGGCGUUCGGUGGAUCGAAUGAGAUUGGCUGCGUCGUGGGCUCGGCAUGCGGCGGGCUCCGGACUUUGAAUAUCCCCGAGUGCGAUCCCAGGUCAGGCGGGGCUACCCGCUGAGUUUAAGCAUAUCAAUAAGCGGAGGAAAAGAAACUAACGAGGAUUCCCUUAGUAGCGGC
rnacentral:rRNA from 1 species